rnacentral:rRNA from 1 species
CCUACGGCCGGCAGCAUUGGGGAAUAUUUCACAAUGUGCGCCCGCCUGAUGCAGCCCUUCGCCUUUUAUGAAGAAGUCCUUCGGGUUGUAAAGUACUUUCAGCGGGGAGGAAGGCGAUAAGGUUAAUAACCUUGUCGAUUGACGUUCCCCGCAUAAGAAGCACCGGCUAACUCCGUGCCAGCAGCCGCGGUAAUACGGAGGGUGCAAGCGUUAAUCGGAAUUACUGGGCGUAAAGCGCACGCAGGCGGUCGGUCAAGUCGGAUGUGAAAUCCCCGGGCUCAACCUGGGAACUGCAUUCGAAACUGGCAGGCUAGAGUCUUGUAGAGGGGGGUAGAAUUCCAGGUGUAGCGGUGAAAUGCGUAGAGAUCUGGAGGAAUACCGGUGGCGAAGGCGGCCCCCUGGACAAAGACUGACGCUCAGGUGCGAAAGCGUGGGGAGCAAACAGGAUUAGAUACCCUAGUAGUC